rnacentral:rRNA from 1 species
GUAGGUGGCAAGCGUUGUCCGGAAUUAUUGGGCGUAAAGCGCGCGCAGGCGGGUUCUUUAAGUCUGAUGUGAAAGCCCACGGGCUCAACCGUGUAGGGUCAUUGGAAACUGGAGAACUUGAGUACAGAAGAGGAAAGCGGAAUUCCACGUGUAGCGGUGAAAUGCGUAGAGAUGUGGAGGAACACCGGUGGCGAAGGCGGCUUUCUGGUCUGUAACUGACGCUGAGGCGCGAAAGCGUGGGGAGCAAACAGGAUUAGAUACCCUGGUAGUCCACGCCGUAAACGAUGAGUGCUAAGUGUUAGGGGGUUUCCGCCCCUUAGUGCUGCGGCUAACGCAUUAAGCACUCCGCCUGGGGAGUACGGCCGCAAAGGCUG